GACGAACGCUGGCGGCGUGCCUAAGACAUGCAAGUCGAGCGGGGUUCACCGGCGGCGGAAGCCGCUGGUGGGCUUGAGCGGCGGACGGGUGAGUAACACGCAGGCAACCUGCCCUCAAGACUGGGAUAACACUGGGAAACCGGUGCUAAUACCGGAUGAGGCGGCUCAUCGCAUGAUGGGUUGGCCAAAGGGCGCCGGUGAGGCGCCGCUUGGGGAUGGGCCUGCGGCCUAUCAGCUAGUUGGCGGGGUAACGGCCCACCAAGGCUAUGACGGGUAGCCGGCCUGAGAGGGUGGUCGGCCACACUGGGACUGAGACACGGCCCAGACUCCUACGGGAGGCAGCAUG
rnacentral:rRNA from 1 species